GUCUUUUUGAGGUAUUUUUAAAGUCUGACCUGCCCCCUGAUAAUUUAUUAAAUGGCCGCAGUAUUCUAACUGUGCAAAGGUAGCAUAAUCAUUAGUCUUUUAAUUGAAGGCUGGAAUGAACGGUUGGACGAGGUAUAAGCUGUUUCAUAAAAAUUUAUAUUAGAAUUUUAUUUUUUAGUCAAAAAGCUAAAAUUUAUAUAAAAGACGAGAAGACCCUAUAAAUCUUUAUAUUUUUUUUUAUUCAAAUUUUUUUGAUUUGGUUUAUUUUUAUAAAAUAAAAUAUUUUGUUGGGGUGAUAUUAAAAUUUAAUGAACUUUUAAUUAUAAAAAAUCAUUAAUUUAUGAAUUAUUGAUCCUUUAUUAUUGAUUAUAAGAUUAAGUUACUUUAGGGAUAACAGCGUAAUUUUUUUUGAGAGUUCUUAUCGAUAAAAAAGUUUGCGACCUCGAUGUUGGAUUAAGAUAUAUUUUUAGGUGUAGCCGCUUAAAUAUUAAGUCUGUUCGACUUUUAAAUUCUUACAU
rnacentral:rRNA from 1 species